GACGAACGCUGGCGGCGUGCUUAACACAUGCAAGUCGAACGGAAAGGCCCUGCUUUUGUUGGGUGCUCGAGUGGCGAACGGGUGAGUAACACGUGAGUAACCUGCCCUUGACUUUGGGAUAACUUCAGGAAACUGGGGCUAAUACCGGAUAGGAGCGCCUGCUGCCUGGUGGGGGUUGGAAAGUUUCGGCGGUGGGGGAUGGACUCGCGGCUUAUCAGCUUGUUGGUGGGGUAGUGGCUUACCAAGGGUUUGACGGGUAGCCGGCCUGAGAGGGUGACCGGCGACAUGGGGCCUACGAUAGGGACCAGACUCCUACGGGAGGCAGCGGUGGGGAAUAUUGCACAAUGGGGGGAAGCCUGAUGCAGCAACGCCGCGUGCGGGAUGACGGCCUUCGGGUUGUAAACCGCUUUCGCCUGUGACGAAGCGUGAGUGACGGUAAUGGGUAAAGAAGCACCGGCUAACUACGUG
rnacentral:rRNA from 1 species